GCCAAACAGCUAGCUUAAACAUUAAAUUAAUACAACAACAUAAAUAAAAUAAAAUGAACCUAAAUCUACAAACUAAACCAUUUUUCCACCUUAGUACGGGCGACAGAAAAGGUAAACUUAAGCAAUAAAGAGAGUACCGCAAGGGAAAGCUGAAAGAGUAAUGAAAUAAUCCAUAUAAGCACAAAAAAGCAGAGCUCAAACCUCGUACCUUUUGCAUCAUGAUUUAGCCAGUAAUAAACAAGCAAAGCGACCUUUAGUUUGUAACCCCGAAACCAAGUGAGCUACCCCGGGACAGCCUAUCGGGCCAACCCUUCUCUGUGGCAAAAGAGUGGGAAGAGCCCCGGGUAGAGGUGAUAAGCCUACCGAACUUGGUGAUAGCUGGUUGCCUAAGAAAUGAAUAGAAGUUCAGCCUCAUACACCCUCUAAUCAAUUAAGAAACAUCUAAAUUAAGUAAAAAGCAAAAUAUGAGAGUUAGUUGAAGGGGGUACAGCCCCUUUAACCAAGGACACAACCUUAAACAGGAGGAUAAGGGUCAAAUUUUCCAAAACCAGUCGCCUCAGUGGGCCUAAAAGCAGCCAUCUGAACAGAAAGCGUUAAAGCUCAAGCGACAUAAAGUUUAUUAUUCUGAUAAACAACCCCACUCCCCUUAUAUUAUUAGGCCAUUCCAUGCCCACAUGGAAGAGACUAUGCUAAAAUGAGUAACAAGAGGGCACGACCCUCUCCUAGCACAAGUGUAAUUUAGACCGGACUAACCACUGAAAAUUAACGAACCCAGAAAAAGAGGGCAGUGUUGACAAUAAAAAAAUCAAGAAAACCCCACAACACCUGAAUCGUAAAACCCACACUGGAGUGCUAUCCAGGAAAGACUAAAAGAAAAGGAAGGAACUCGGCAAACAUAAGCCUCGCCUGUUUACCAAAAACAUCGCCUCCUGCAAACCCCAAUGUAUAGGAGGUCCAGCCUGCCCGGUGACUACAAGUUUAACGGCCGCGGUAUUUUGACCGUGCAAAGGUAGCGCAAUCACUUGUCUUUUAAAUGAAGACCCGUAUGAAUGGCCAAACGAGGGCUUAACUGUCUCCCCUUUCUAGUCAGUGAAAUUGAUCUACCCGUGCAGAAGCGGGUAUAAUAAUACAAGACGAGAAGACCCUUUGGAGCUUAAGGUACAAACCCACCUAUGUUAAACAACUUAUUAACAAAGUAUAAACCUAGUAGAGAAUGAAGUUUUACCUUCGGUUGGGGCGACCAUGGAGAAUAAAAAAUCCUCCAAGUGGAAUGGGAUAAAUCCUAAAACUAAGAGAGACAUCUCUAAGUCACAGAAAUUCUGACCAAUUAUGAUCCGGCCACUAGGCCGAUCAACGAACCAAGUUACCCUAGGGAUAACAGCGCAAUCCCCUCCGAGAGUUCAUAUCGACGAGAGGGUUUACGACCUCGAUGUUGGAUCAGGACAUCCUAAUGGUGCAGCCGCUAUUAAGGGUUCGUUUGUUCAACGAUUAAAGUCCUACGUGAUCUGAGUUCAGACCGGAGCAAUCCAGGUCAGUUUCUAUCUGUAAAGUCGUUUUUCCUAGUACGAAAGGACCGGAAAAGAAAGGCCCAUGCCAAAGGCACGCCUUACCCCUAAUUAAUGAAGACAACUAAAUUAAGUAAAGGGGGGCCAAACACGUGCCAAAAUAAGGCCAC
rnacentral:rRNA from 1 species